rnacentral:tRNA from 1 species
ACACUGGUAGUUCAGUGGUAGAAUUCUCACCUUCCAUGUGGGAGACUCUGAUUCGAUUCCUGGCUAGUGUA